GCCAGUCCUCCUUCAGCUGGAGGGUAGGCAGAGAAAUCUUCCACUUCCUGAGCUGCAGGCCCACACCCCCAGGGAAGCCCACCCCUACGCCUCCACGCCCCGCCUGGGCUCGCCAACCACAGGUUUGAGGCAAGAGCCGGCUGCGCAACAAGAAAAACGUGACUGCCGGUGAUGGAUGGGAGUAAAGAACCAGUCGGAAGGCAGGGGGCGGGACCAAGUGACGCAAACGUCCAAUCAGAAAUGAAAAUAAGUGCUGGGGCGGAAUUUGCGGGUGGAGCCAAGGCCACCGAGGCCGCGCCCUGCUCCACCCUCUGGACUUACCGCAUCGUGGUCCUCCUGUUCCUGCAGCUGUCGAGCGAUGUAGCUAAUAGAGGAAACGACCUCCCGCAGCUCAGGCGGCAGCCCCACGGCCCGGUGUGGACCAUCGAUAAAUCGCCGCAGGUCCGGGGCAGACAGUUCAGGCUGAAACCUGGAAGAGGCGUGACCGUUUGGCCGCGCCCCGGGCGCAAAGACAAACAGCCAGCGCCGGCAAUCAAGGGCCCGCGCCACCUGCCUCCUCAACAACCUGCUAGUUCUCAAAACCUGAGAGGGCCUUCAGGUUCUCCCCGACAGCAGUGACCUCUCCAGCCUCCUGCAACUUCUUCCACCCCUCUAAGCUUUAGUGCCCACCCUCCCACAAAGUGAGCAGCAAGAGAUACUACAACUCCCAUGAUGCGCAGGACGCCAUCUUCCGGGAGCGCGGCCGCCCGCUUCCGCAGUCUAAUGAGAACCAGAGUUCUCUGUCUCCCUUCUCUGUUUGGGCCUCUUCAGACCCAGGUACAGAGGGAGUUUGUGAAUGAAGAUCUGCAGAAUAGAAGAAGAGGCGUA